rnacentral:tRNA from 1 species
CGCACGGUGGACGACGCGGUCGACGCACUCGGCGCCCAGAUCGCCGCGGCCGGUGGCCCGGCCGGUGCGCCGGUCGCUGCGGCCGGUGCCCC